GGAAACCGGGGCUAAUGCCGGAUAACAUUUAGAACCGCAUGGUUCUAAAGUGAAAGAUGGUUUUGCUAUCACUUAUAGAUGGACCCGCGCCGUAUUAGCUAGUUGGUAAGGUAAUGGCUUACCAAGGCAACGAUACGUAGCCGACCUGAGAGGGUGAUCGGCCACACUGGAACUGAGACACGGUCCAGACUCCUACGGGAGGCAGCAGUAGGGAAUCUUCCGCAAUGGGCGAAAGCCUGACGGAGCAACGCCGCGUGAGUGAUGAAGGGUUUCGGCUCGUAAAACUCUGUUAUUAGGGAAGAACAAACGUGUAAGUAACUGUGCACGUCUUGACGGUACCUAAUCAGAAAGCCACGGCUAACUACGUGCCAGCAGCCGCGGUAAUACGUAGGUGGCAAGCGUUAUCCGGAAUUAUUGGGCGUAAAGCGCGCGUAGGCGGUUUCUUAAGUCUGAUGUGAAAGCCCACGGCUCAACCGUGGAGGGUCAUUGGAAACUGGGAGACUUGAGUGCAGAAGAGGAAAGUGGAAUUCCAUGUGUAGCGGUGAAAUGCGCAGAGAUAUGGAGGAACACCAGUGGCGAAAGCGACUUUCUGGU
rnacentral:rRNA from 1 species